GAGGGUAUAGCUCAAGUGGUAGAGUGCAUGCUUAGCAUGCAUGAGGUCCUAGGUUUAAUCCUCAGUACCUCCU
rnacentral:tRNA from 1 species